AAGUCGAGCGGACAGAUGGGAGCUUGCUCCCUGAUGUUAGCGGCGGACGGGUGAGUAACACGUGGGUAACCUGCCUGUAAGACUGGGAUAACUCCGGGAAACCGGGGCUAAUACCGGAUGGUUGUCUGAACCGCAUGGCUCAGACAUAAAAGGUGGCUUCGGCUACCACUUACAGAUGGACCCGCGGCGCAUUAGCUAGUUGGUGAGGUAACGGCUCACCAAGGCGACGAUGCGUAGCCGACCUGAGAGGGUGAUCGGCCACACUGGGACUGAGACACGGCCCAGACUCCUACGGGAGGCAGCAGUAGGGAAUCUUCCGCAAUGGACGAAAGUCUGACGGAGCAACGCCGCGUGAGUGAUGAAGGUUUUCGGAUCGUAAAGCUCUGUUGUUAGGGAAGAACAAGUGCCGUUCAAAUAGGGCGGCACCUUGACGGUACCUAACCAGAAAGCCACGGCUAACUACGUGCCAGCAGCCGCGGUAAUACGU
rnacentral:rRNA from 1 species